AUGCACGCUGGCGGCGUGCCUCAUACAUGCAAGUCGAGCGCACAGACGAGGAGCUUGCUCCUCUGACGUUAGCGGCGGACGGGUGAGUAACACGUGGAUAACCUACCUAUAAGACUGGGAUAACUUCGGGAAACCGGAGCUAAUACCGGAUAAUAUAUUGAACCGCAUGGUUCAAUAGUGAAAGACGGUUUUGCUGUCACUUAUAGAUGGAUCCGCGCCGCAUUAGCUAGUUGGUAAGGUAACGGCUUACCAAGGCAACGAUGCGUAGCCGACCUGAGAGGGUGAUCGGCCACACUGGAACUGAGACACGGUCCAGACUCCUACGGGAGGCAGCAGUAGGGAAUCUUCCGCAAUGGGCGAAAGCUUGACGGAGCAACGCCGCGUGAGUGAUGAAGGUCUUCGGAUCGUAAAACUCUGUUAUUAGGGAAGAACAAAUGUGUAAGUAACUAUGCACGUCUUGACGGUACCUAAUCAGAAAGCCACGGCUAACUACGUG
rnacentral:rRNA from 1 species